GACGAAGGAUGCAAGCGUUAUCCGGAUUCAUUGGGUUUAAAGGGAGCGUAGGUGGCCUUAUAAGUCAGUGGUGAAAUCUCUGGGCUUAACCCAGAAAUUGCCAUUGAUACUGUAGGGCUUGAGUAUAGAUGCCGUUGGCGGAAUAUGACAUGUAGUGGUGGAAUACAUAGAGAUGUCAUAGAACACCGAUUGCGAAGGCAGCUAACGAAACUAUAACUGACACUGAGGCUCGAAAGUGUGGGGAUCAAACAGG
rnacentral:rRNA from 1 species